rnacentral:rRNA from 1 species
GGGGGAUAUUGCACAAUGGAGGAAACUCUGAUGCAGCAACGCCGCGUGAGGGAUGAAGGUCUUCGGAUUGUAAACCUUUGUCCUCGGUGACGAUAAUGACGGUAGCCGAGGAGGAAGCUCCGGCUAACUACGUGCCGGCAGCCGCGGUAAUACGUAGGGAGCAAGCGUUGUCCGGAUUUACUGGGUGUAAAGGGUGCGUAGGCGGCUAUGCAAGUCAGUUGUGAAAACUAUGGGCUCAACCCAUAGCCUGCAAUUGAAACUGCGUGGCUUGAGUGAAGUAGAGGUAGGUGGAAUUCCCGGUGUAGCGGUGAAAUGCGUAGAGAUCGGGAGGAACACCAGUGGCGAAGGCGAUCUGCUGGGCUUUAACUGACGCUGAGGCACGAAAGCAUGGGUAGCAAAC